rnacentral:lncRNA from 10 species
GGCUCCCCACUGCCUCUCCUUUGCAGAGCUAUCACUGGCCCCUGGUUGCAAACUCUCGGUGGCUUUCAAGCCUACAAAACAAAAACUGAGAGGGUGUCCAAAAAGAGAAGAAGAAAACGUUGUUGUUGGUCCUGGAUUCCACUGUUGGAUUUUGGUGGGGAUGAGAAGAAGGAAUUACCAGGUGUGAUCAACACCUGCACGGUACCUGCACGAUGACAUCUCCUAAUCUUUCUUCUUCGAACAAGAAAAAAAAUGGUUGCCAACAGUUUGAAGGGAAAAGAAGAUAAAAGAAAACAGAGUCUGCCAUCAGUGGGUAUAGGAGACAGUUAAAAAAAA